GUUUGGGCUAUAAACUUUUUGAACUUCACUACCGAUGCAUAGAUAACUAUUCACCACUCAGAUGUCUCAAAGCUCAUCACGUGGAAACUGGCCACGCUCCUAGUACCUGAUAUCCUGCCUCCUGAGACCUACUUUCAGCAUUUCCCUACCUGAAUCAUAUCGAUAUCGGAUUCGACCGCUGAGCUCCGAGAGACGAGGUCGGAUUUUCUUACUCCUGGUUUUGUCGAGGAUUUCGUUAUUGCGAUAAGGAUAUUUGAAGUUCAAGAAUUGGAGACCUGGUGGAUUGGAGCACCUAGGAAAGCAAGAUUUUGCCACAUGGUCCCUAAAAGGAACAAACAUGACAAGCAUUUGAUAGAUAGUCAGUGUGUACUGCCAAUAUUACACAUGAUGCCAAGUUUGUGCAAUUCUUUGGAAUUUCUUAAAGAAAAAUUAGGUUGCUGUCCACAUGGAACAAAAGCACAAAGAACAACAUCACAGAAAAUUACGUAUAAAUUUCACAAAAAUGAAAAUGUUUGAUCUUUUUAAUGCACUACGUAAUCCUUAUUUAAUAAUUAAAAUCUGU